rnacentral:rRNA from 1 species
GACGAACGCUGGCGGCGUGCUUAACACAUGCAAGUCGAACGAUGAAAGUGGAGCUUGCUCCGCUGGAUUAGUGGCGAACGGGUGAGUAACACGUGGGCAACCUGCCCCAGACUCUGGGAUAACUCCUCGAAAGAGGUGCUAAUACCGGAUACGAACUCCUUGGGCAUCCUUGGAGUUGGAAAGUUUGUCGGUCUGGGAUGGGCCCGCGGCCUAUCAGCUUGUUGGUGGGGUAGUGGCCCACCAAGGCGACGACGGGUAGCCGGCCGGAGAGGGCGACCGGCCACUCUGGGACUGAGACACGGCCCAGACGCCGACGGGGGGCAGCAGUGGGGAAUAUUGCGCAAGGGGCGAAAGCCUGACGCAGCGACGCCGCGUGAGGGAUGACGGCCUUCGGGUUGUAAACCUCUUUCAGCAGGGAAGAAGCGAAAGUGACGGUACCUGCAGAAGAAGCACCGGCUAACUACGUGCCAGCAGCCGCGGUAA